rnacentral:rRNA from 1 species
UGACGACGGUUUACCAACGAGUGGCGGACGGGUGAGUAACACGUAGGCAACCUGCCCAGAAGCGGGGGACAACAUUUGGAAACAAGUGCUAAUACCGCAUAACAACGAAGACCACAUGAUUUUCGUUUAAAAGAUGGUUUCGGCUAUCACUUCUGGAUGGGCCUGCGGCGCAUUAGCUUGUUGGUGAGGUAACGGCUCACCAAGGCUGUGAUGCGUAGC